AUACAGAGGGUGCAAGCGUUAUUCGGAAUUACUGGGCGUAAAGCGCGCGUAGGCGGAUGAUUAAGUCAGUUGUGAAAGCCCUGGGCUCAACCUAGGAACUGCAUCUGAUACUGGUCGCCUAGAGUUUAAGAGAGGGAAGUGGAAUUCCAGGUGUAGCAGUGAAAUGCGUAGAUAUCUGGAGGAACAUCAGUGGCGAAGGCGACUUCCUGGCUUAAAACUGACGCUGAGGUGCGAAAGCGUGGGUAGCGAACGGGAUUAGAAACCCUAGUAGUCC
rnacentral:rRNA from 1 species